ensembl:lncRNA
CAGCAGCACGUUGGCCAACCAGUCCCCACCACAGGACCCCCCCACCCCCCCGGAGCUUUCCCCUCUCCCGACGCUCUCCGGGCUCCCAUCGCGGUGCGGCGGGGCCGGAGCCCCGCACCGGGGCUGCUGCUUUCCGCGAGUGCCCUCUCCUGGAAGCUCCUCCUGGGCUCCUCCGGGUACCGAGCUGCUCUGUUUCAGCUCGUAGCCCGCGCCCGCAAUCCUCCCGUAGAGGCUGUGCCGCAACCUGAAGUGUAUUCGGGAGCAUCGUGCGCCCUCGCGGCACGCUGCGCUUCUCCCAGGUGCUAUUUCGGCUCCGCUGCAGCCGUUCAUCUUUCCGGCGUGCUGUGAGCUGGGUGAGAGCUCGACCCUGCUGGCACACAGCCUGCGUUUGCAUGCGGAAGGUGGAUCCAUGCAUUUCCCAAAGUUUGGAUCUAAAGACUGAAAGCUGUCCUGGCAGAGCUGGCUUUGAGUACUGCUGAGGAACGACACUCAGCCCAGCUUGGAGACAGAGAGCAGCACCCAGUGCUGAAUCCAUGCAGGAGUGGUUCUCCAUGCUGACAACCCAUAAAAGACCUAAUGACCCAUCUGAGGGACAUUAACGGCGCGCUGGCCAUUGGAGACGGUGGGUUUGUUUGUUUUCAGCCCCCUGCUUGGGAUUGUAAUUUCAGGAGAGGAUCUUUGGGGUUGAGUUGGGUCCUCCGGGCCUUUUAGCACGGUGUA